GCGCCCGUGGCUCGAUGGACAGAGCAUCGGACUUCGGAUCCGAGGGUUGGAGGUUCGAGUCCUCCCGGGCGUGCCA
rnacentral:tRNA from 1 species